GGAGAGAUAGCUCAGUUGGUAGGGUGCUUGCCUAGUAUGCAUAAGAACCUGGGUUCAAUCCCCAGCACCA
rnacentral:tRNA from 1 species